AAGAAUAUAUAGUUCCAUUAAAAAACUUAUUUUGACUUUGAAAUCCCCUCUCCCUAAUAUUCCAGGCUCGAAAAAAAUUACAUCAUAUGAUUGUACCCUACAAACCGAACAAUUUUUGUAAAUAAAUUUGUUUCGUAACUUCAGUGCGUCACGAGAUAUUUACUUUGCUAGAUAAACGAAACACACUGUAUGUAAUAAUUAAUUCACGUAACACACCGUUCCAUAACGAUCGGAAUGAUGUAAUAAUUUGGAGAGAACGAAAUAUUCUUUCGAUUUAUUUAUAAUACUGCGUUUUUAAUCGUGAACCAUUAUUCAACUAAAACGUUGGCCAUCUCUGGCCCACCAGAGCAAUUACAACGUCUUCGAUCGACGAUUGCAGGUUCUAAGCGAUGUUGUUGGUUACGCAAGAUGACACUUGCGCAUUAUCUAUGAAAGUGCAAACGCGAGUCGAGCACGCAACGACAGAUCUCAAAGUUUCCACUAGUACUUAUUAAAAAGCUGUAAAUCAUUGGAACCGUAUCGACGUCGACGUAAUUACGGCAAAAAAAAAAUAAAGGUCAACGCGAACAUAAUCGUAAUCGUUUCGUUAUCAACGCCACGUAGCCGGCAACGAUGAACGAUUCAGCUCGAAGGCGAUAUAAACUGGCGAUUCCGUGUGGUGUCAUUUGCCGCGCAGUUGCGAUGUCGGAUAAGUUAAUGCGGAUAAUUUGAAUUUUCAAGUCUCACUGGAACUGCGCGAGCACGCGAGAAACAUGUAUGUAUGUAUGUACAUACGAUCGCCUUGCGACCAGGCAAAACAUCGAUACCGUGCGCGCGAUACGAAAGAUCUACCGCCGAUUAAAACUCCUCGAUCAUCGACGAGGCAAACACUGUGUCGAGUGUACAAACGAAAUUCUCAAUAUUUUUAAUCAUUAAUAAAAAAACUUUUGGCCUUGAAAAUGCCUUGACUUCAACUUCAAAUAAUAAAAAUACAGAGAAAGUGUAAUAUGAUAUAUGGACGAAUACAAUAUAAGAUUGGUGUGAUUCUUCGAUGUGGUGGCUACGAGCAGACAUACGACUAGAACGGUAAAAAAGCUUUGGUGGUUGAGAGUAGACAUACGAUCCCAAAUCUUUGUGGAUGUGUGAUACAACUUUGGAAAAAGGUUACACGCCGGGUACUUAUCGUUAAAAGCACGCGAAUUAAUCGAGCUUUUAUCGAACGUCAAAGAAUCCAAAAAUUCUGGUUAUGUUUGCCGAAGCUAUCUGCCUCCAACGAGACACAAAUACAUAUCGCGUCCGCGCAGUCGAGAAUAAUUAACGCCGACGUUUCAUCAGCUAAACUAACACGAUAUUUAGUGAUCCAUUGUUCUCGAAAAACUUCAACGAGUUGGCUGCCUACGGGUUUUAUCGGCGUUAUUCCGUUUGUCAAAAUCGUGUUUCCAAUAUUUUCGAGUUAAUUCGGAAAUGUAUUUUCGUGUGUCUAUAAAAGGAUAAGUCGAUAAUAACUGACAUUCGAAUAAAUGUAUUAUGUAUCAAUUAUAGAGAAAUUAAAUUAUCGGAGUUUUAUUUUUACAAUUUGAAAUGAGGUUGAAUUGAUUUCAUGAUCUUGAUUUGUUUUUAGAGAUAUUUGUUAAUUUUUAAUAAUAAUUAGUGCAUACGUAUGGCAAUGUUCUAUUUUCUGUCAUUAAUUUCUAUUUCUACCUGUUGGAAUCUAAUUUUUGUAUAAUCAUGAUAAACCUAAAACGGAGAUCGAACAUAUAUUCUAGAUGCUAGUGCUUGUAUUGGCUACCUACGUAUUUAAUUUGAUUUUCCAAUUCAUUAUUUAUAAGUGUCCUUUUAUCGUAUAAAAACCUGUUUUAUGUAAAGUAUGUUAGAAGCGAUGGUUCGAAUAAAGACAAUUAAUUUUUCCCAUGCCUUGUAUUUCCCGUGAUGAAGUAAUCCUAGGCUAUAUUAACCCUUUAUAGGGCAAAACUUCCUCAGCAUUUCUUUUUCCACUUUUUUUUGUGGAUGAGGGUAGAAACUUAAACAUACAAAAUUCCCUUCCUUAGUGAUGACAAUGAGUACCGGUGACCUAUAAAGGGUGAAGGUCACGUCGAGGCAACUUCAUUUCCUUUUUUUUAAGUUACGACAAGGUACUGAACAAACAUACGUGGUGCUAAUGACAAAAUAGGUCAUCUUGAUAUUUCAGAAAAUAGAAAACAUAAAAACAUAGUGUAUCUCAUAUUAUGCAUAUUAUACAAAAUACAUUUCAUAUUAUACAUAUUAUUAUUUUCAUAUAUUCUUCAUAUAUUAUAAACGCAUAGCAAAUAAGAAAUUUUGUUUUUUUUUUUUGUUACUUGAUUUUACUUAAAUUUUAUAACAUUUUCAAGAACACGAGAUAUAUAAGCCUGACAAGCAAUAUUCAACAUUCAUUGACGUCAAAUAAAAUAUUAGCAUAUAAAUGUGCUCGAUCUAAUAUCUUCAGAUCUAAUAUAAGUUUCUUAAAAUAUGAUCAUCAUAGAGAAAUCUGUAUAUUUUAUUAUAGUACUUAAUCGUAAGCCUGAUACCAAUUUAAUACCAAUUAUAUCGAUCUUCGUAUCAUUAAAACUGUAUUACGUUCCUGUAAAUAACAAAAUCAUUUUCAUUAGAAUAUGAAUACGACCAGCCAUAUUGCAAAACUUUAUUUUAUUUUUAUCUGUGAUGACAAUAACUAUCAAAUAUAGUUUGCAAUACUUUUCGUGAAUUUGAAAUAAAUUUCUUAAACAUGGAUGUGGGAGGACCCUUCGAUCGGAACUUAAAGCAGGUAUUUUGUUUUGUCUGUAGUAUAACGUACGACUGUUCAAACGUCAAAAGUUGCCUUAGUGGUUUCGAGGAGCGACAUAUUUCAAAGAAAAUAUUAAAGUGCCAUUAGCAGAGAUUUUUACCUUUCCGUUACAAUGCUGAAAGAGACUGGUUCGACACCAUCGCGAUUCGAAGAAGUCGUACGUAGUUCUGAAUAAAAACAGCGACACGUUUACAGCACCGAAUACAAAACUGGCCAGGCUUUUUUAACGUAUCCCGAUUGCAUGGGCGCAUACCUUUAUCCAGUAUGUCUGCAGAAUUUCGAGAACUCUUUUGCGCAGUUGGUCGGCUCCUCUUCUCCGUAAAAAAGAGGCCUGCACGAAACGCUCGCGCGUAUUCACAAAUUUAUCGAGCCUUUUUCAGAUAUUUGCUCACGGCCUUCGCCGAUUAAAUUUAAAUGCAUUUAUGUAUAUUACGUCCGUUCUAAAAACCAGCUAUUUUAAUAACGUCGCAGCGGAAUCUUGGAAUUUUUUAGAUCCAAGGUUCCCCCGAGGCAUUCGACGUUUAGUAUACAUAUAGGACUUGAUAAACGUAGGUAAAUUCCUUGAUUUUUUUUCGUGAUUCAAGGAGGAAUACCACCACGAAGGCCGAGAAUAAAGCUGGUUUGGGGAAUUUUAUUCCUAAAGUGUUUUAUUGAUGUAUUAAACCUAUUAAAUUCUUUCUUAAAAACAUUAUUGCCGGUACAUGCAAAUACUACUUAGUUAUACUUAUAGUACAGUUACUAUGUAUAAUAUCAAUUAAUCAUUACUUAAACAAUUACCGUCGAUAUCAUUUAAAAAGAAUGUAUUAACUUGGUGAUCUCCUACCGACGUUUUUAUUAAAUUUAAAUGUGUAAAUAAAACAAAAUAAAAGAAAUUUAAUUUCUCGGUAUCUCGACGUCUCUUCAUUUUCAUUAACAAUUUAUCGCCAGUAACGUUAAAACAAUUUGCAACUAAUAAUAAUAAAACUAUGCUGCUCAA